rnacentral:sRNA from 1 species
CACAUCUUCCUGGAGAAGGGGAGGGUGCGGCUGCAGAGAAUUGAGACUUAGAAGCUUUGAAUUCCUGUAUCUGAGAACGGAGUCGUUGGGGGUGGUGGAGGGGGUUGGAAUUGGGGACCUACGGAAGGUGAGGAUCAGCCUCCAGGCACAACAGGGGAGAGGACGUUCAGUGGGCUUCAACUUGACCCAGGCCUUCUCCCCUUCAGGCUCAGCUCUUGCCAGGCCAAAUUGAGACAUGUCUGACACCAGCGAGAGUGGUGCAGGUCUAACUCGCUUCCAGGCUGAAGCUUCAGAAAAGGACAGUAGCUCGAUGAUGCAGACCCUGUUGGCAGUGACCCAGAAUGUGGAGGUCCCAGAGACACCGAAGGCCUCAAAGGCACUGGAGGUCUCAGAGGAUGUGAAGGUCUCAAAAGCCUCUGGGGUCUCAAAGGCCACAGAGGUCUCAAAGACCCCAGAGGCUCAGGAGGCACCUGCCACCCAGGCCUCAUCUACUACUCAGCUGACUGAUACCCAGGUUCUGGCAGCUGAAAACAAGAGUCUAGCAGCUGACACCAAGAAACAGAAUGCUGACCCGCAGGCUGUGACAAUGCCUGCCACUGAGACCAAAAAGGUCAGCCAUGUGGCUGAUACGAAGGUCAAUACAAAGGCCCAGGAGACUGAGGCUUCACCCUCUCAGGCCCCAGCAGAUGAA